rnacentral:rRNA from 1 species
GCUUAACACAUGCAAGUCGAACGGACAGACGGAGAGCUUGCCCUCUUGAAGUUAGUGGCGAACGGGUGAGUAACGCGUAAUCAACCUGCCCUUCAGAGGGGGAUAACAACGGGAAACCGUUGCUAAUACCGCGUACGCCGUGAGGGGGAAAGAUUUAUUGGUCUGUGAUUGGCCCGCGCAACAUUAGGUAGUUGGUUAGGUAACGGCUAACCAAGCCUACGAUGUUUAGCUGGUCUGAGAGGACGAUCAGCCACACUGGAACGGGGACACGGUCCAGACUCCUACGGGAGGCAGCAGUGAGGAAUAUUGGGCAAUGGGGGCAACCCUGACCCAGCCAUGCCGCGUGAGUGAAGAAGGUUUUCGGAUUGUAAAGCUCUUUCGGGUGAGAAGAUAAUGACGGUAUCACCUAAAGAAGCCCCGGCAAACUUCGUGCCAGCCGCCGCCGUAA